UUUUACGUUUUUAAACAUCACUCAAACACGACCAAUAUACUCGAUCUCUAGGACAUCAGUAGAGUAAAAGUUUUGAAUUUUUACUCUACCUUCACUUUACUCCUUUCUUCCUGAGAACCACAAACACAACCAAAACAAAUCAAAAAUAACAAGAAAGUAAAAAUUAUUUACAAGGAUAGUCAUGGAACUUCCUCCCAAGUGAGCUUGUUUUAAGUCUCUAGCUUGACUCCUCACACUUAUCAAGAAGAAAAUGAACUGUAGAGAGGGUCAGCAUAAUCCUCUCUGAUACCAUCAUCAUACUCAGCGUCCUCCCUGGAGAGGUCUGCAGCAGAAUACUCAAUUCCCCUUUCUUCAAAAUAGGCUUCCUUCUCUUCUUGAGGGUAAUCUGUCUCUGGAGACCAUCUUGAAGUGAAUUCUUUUCUCGGGAUAGUGUUAAUCCCGCCUUUAGGUUGAGCUUCCUUCUGCAUCUGAUUCAGCUUACUCCUAAGUUCCUCAAUAGUGUGGGCUAGCUUCUCUAUAGUUUCAUCUUGCUUAUCAGACCUCUUUUUAAGUUCUUUCACUCGUUCAGUCUCAUAUCCUUCUCCUGAGAUCGCUUUAUCAUUUCCAGAGGUUCUUCCAUCUUCGGUUGACCCUUGUGGAGUUUUGUUGAUGCCAAACUGCAACUUGAUAUGCUUUCCAAGGUUGAGACUUAUUUUCCCUUCCCUGACAUCUAUCACUGCUCCCACUGACGCUAAAAAGGGUCUUCCCAGUAUUAAGGGAUCCUUAUGCUCUACUUCCAUAUCCAGCACCACGAAGUCUGUAGGCACUUCUACGCCAUUAAUCAUGACUGGUAGGUCUAUCAGCAUGCCGAACGGUUUUCUAGAAGACCUAUCCGCAAGGAUCAAAGUCAGGUCACAAGGUUUAUAUUGAAUGAACUCUAACCUUCUUGCCACAGAGAGUGGCAUCAAGCUAACAGAGGCUCCGAGAUCGCACAGACAAUCGCUGAAAGCAAAUUCCCCAAUGGAACAUGGUAGAGUGAAAGAUCCAGGAUCUUCUAACUUCUCUUGAACAAUCCUCUUAUCAGCAGCUCGAGAUGGAGUGGCAUCACUUUCAUCAUCCGAAUCGUGAUACAUCUUGAUCCUUUCCAGUAUUAAAUUUCUCACAUCUUUGUGAGGAUCAGGAAUCAGGUUAAGAAUUUCCAUUAGUGGCAUCACAGCUUCAAUCUCGUCCAACUGCUUCGCUGCAACAGACUUGUAUCUCUCCAUCCAUGCUUUCCUGAAUGUCCACGGAAGAGCACGUGAGGGUAGUGGAGUAGGUUUGAAUCGUUUUACCAUUCUCUCGAUUAUGGCGGCCUUCUCUUCCGAGGUGGAUUGAGUGAGAUGGCGAGAUGACAGAUGGUGAUGGCGUGAGCGGUUGCAUACUCUUUUGGAUUCUGUAUGGACUUCCCUGGAAGUCCUGUAACUUUUGGUGCAGAGGUAGAUGCUGAUUGGCCUUCCAAGUAUCUGACUUUGGUAUUCAAUGCAGUCCAGCUUAUGGUGCAAUUCAGAUAAUUUCUUAGCAAUUUCCAUUGAGCUAGAUGCUUGUCCCUGUAGCAGCUGUUGGACCAUCUGUUUCAUUUCAGCAUCAGGAGCAGCAGGACCUUGGUUUUGCUGAGA
rnacentral:sRNA from 1 species